rnacentral:rRNA from 1 species
GACGAACGCUGGCGGCAUGCCUAACACAUGCAAGUCGAACGAAACGGCCGGGCUUUGUGGCGCAGGUGGGGGUACGGAGGGGGAAGUAGCCCGUAGGUUAGGUAUAACUGACUGUAGGGUAAGCUAAGACCAGUGAGUCUCUUAGGGGCAAGGAUUUAUCGCCUUUGGGUGGGGGCGCGUUGGAUUAGCUGGUUGGUAGGGUAAUAGCCUACCAAGGGCACGAUGCAUAGCUGGUCUGAUAGGAUGAUCAGCCACACUGGGACUGAGACACGGGCCAGACUCCUACGCAAGGCAGCAGUGGGGAAUAUUGGACAAUGGGCGAAAGCCUGAUCCAGCAAUGCCGCGUGAGUGAUGAAGGCCUUAGGGUUGUAAAGCUCUUUUACCCGGGAUGAUAAUGACAGUACCGGGAGAAUAAGCUCCGGCUAACUCCGUG